CCUGGGAGUUACCCCGAAGGUGUUUUAACUGUGCAUUUGUGAAAUAAUCUCUGGAGCACUUAUUGGUGGUCCAGGAAGAUGAUCUGGCUCUUCAGGGGGCCUCAAUCCACCUUAGUUUUCUGUACUCUGAUACUUGACAUGUUUUAGGAUGAAGCAGAAUGAAGCUCAGUGCUCUUCUGAACUGUGGGUGUCAUGGUACCACUGGGAUUUCUUGUCUUCUGUAAGUGUGCUCUGUGAUCCCGUAUUGCUUUUGGUCGUAACAGGUCAUAAUCUUUGUCCUGCGUUUAGGACUUCUCAGGACUGAGACUUGCCAGUUUUGCUUUGUCUGAACUUUUCUUGCCCUGCCUGAGCUUUGUUUUACUUGGUUUAGCCAUGACAGCAAUUUCACCAAUUGUCCAGGUGCCUAUGGAUAAUUUGCUUCUCUUUCAUUUAUCUUUGUGUGUUAUGACCGUAGUUAAUAUGAACAGCAGCAACAAGCAGUUAUUCUGUGAAGAAUGAGAUACAGCUCUAACACAGUGAUGUUGUGUAGAGAAAUACAGGCCUGGUGUGAUAGCAGAGACCUUGAGAAGUGCAGAUACAGGAGGCGGCGCAGAAUAGUGCUGGCGUGGGAUGAGAAGAGACGAGGCACAGGCUGGCCCAUGGUCAGUUAAAGAAAUGCAGACCUGGGGCUGGACAAAACUAGAGGAUGAUCUGUUGGGGCCACCACAUGCACCCCGGGUCCUGGGACACCACCUUUAAGGAGCUGGCACCAAUGACCUACAGUGAAGAAGAGCUGGGCGAGCAGGGAUUUUGCUUCAUGCCAUCCCUGCCUCCUCACCUUCCCGCAGCGGAGGAUGCACAGUGGCACAGAGGAAGAGGAACACGGUGAAAGGCUCGAUAGAUGGUGAUUUGGUGACUCACAUUUGCUGAAUGGCUCACAACCAGCUUUCCAUGGGAUUGCAGCAGUUUAACU
rnacentral:lncRNA from 1 species